UACACUCCUGCGGGAGGCAGCAGUGGGGAAUCUUGCGCAAUGGGCGAAAGCCUGACGCAGCCAUGCCGCGUGAAUGAUGAAGGUCUUAGGAUUGUAAAAUUCUUUCACCGGGGACGAUAAUGACGGUACCCGGAGAAGAAGCCCCGGCUAACUUCGUGCCAGCAGCCGCGGUAAUACGAAGGGGGCUAGCGUUGCUCGGAAUUACUGGGCGUAAAGGGAGCGUAGGCGGACAUUUAAGUCAGGGGUGAAAUCCCGGGGCUCAACCUCGGAAUUGCCUUUGAUACUGGGUGUCUUGAGUAUGAGAGAGGUGUGUGGAACUCCGAGUGUAGAGGUGAAAUUCGUAGAUAUUCGGAAGAACACCAGUGGCGAAGGCGACACACUGGCUCAUUACUGACGCUGAGGCUCGAAAGCGUGGGGAGCAAACAGGAUUAGAAACCCGAGUAGUCCCAUG
rnacentral:rRNA from 1 species